AACUGCAAAAUACUAGUAUGAAACCUGUUUGUUUUUCUUCUUUCCAGACUAUAUCGUAGAAUGCAAAAUAAUAACAAAUUCCCAAUGAUUGUCAGAAAAAUCAUAAAACAUACUAUUAAUAAAUGGGUUAAUGUUUUGCCAUUAUAUUAGAUAUUAUAUAAGUAUAAUUUCUAAUCUGCACAAUUAUUCAGUAAGAUCAGGCUUACUGAAUGGAGGCUAAUACUUUGUUUUUAGAUGAGAAAAUUUAGAAUAAAUCCACUAUUAAUAUCUAAUCUGUAUUUAUUUUUUCUGGGUCACUGAGAAUUUAGUAUCGGGGAGCCUAAAAUUACUUAAAUUUUCACUUUUAUCUAAUUUUAAGUAGUUUUUAAAGAUUCAAAUAUUCUUCAUUGCUUUGUGCUGACUCUUUCAUGAUUUUCAUGUGUAUUUAAAAAUAAACUAAAACUAGAUAAUGUGUGCAUCAAAAUAAACUAGUCAGGUGUGGUAGCACAUGCCUGUAAGCCCUGCACUUUGGAGGCUGAAGCACAGGAUUACCAUAAAUUACAGGCCAGGUGGGGUUAUAUCAGUGAGUUUAAGGCUAGCAAGUUCAUAGCAAGAUCCUGUCUGAAAAACAAACAAGAAAACUAACCACAAAGAAAGUGAACACUAGGUGAGUUUAACCUGGCACGAUUACUUUUAUUUAAAAAGACUAGGAGAAACUGAGCACUAAUAAAUCUCUGAUCAUAUCAGGUUAUUUCAUAAUUAACCAUAAUAUAGACACAUGAAAAAGUUAAACUAGGUAUUAUGAAAAAUAUAUGCCAGAUAUCAGAGUAGAAUAAGAUCAGAUACACAAGGUCCCUUUAAGAAUACAUUGUUGGUCUUACAAUUGUGUUCAUUACAUGAGAUAACCACAGAAUAUAUGGACUAUAGCUAAUGAAUUAGGGUUCCCCAGCUUAUCAGUUUUCUGGAAGAUGGCAAUCACUAGAAUGAACUUCGUUUUAAAUUAAAGGUCCCACUGUACUUUUGUUUGGGAGUAAAAUCAGAGAUUUCAUUGUCAUAAGCAAAUUAAAUCAGGUAUGUACUUUCAAAUUCGGUUGAAACAAGUUCACUGCAUCAAUUUUGUGGUUGUAAUUUAAGUCAAUUUCAAAUUUUCAGAUGUUCAUAUACACAACAAAUAAUGACAAAUCUGAUUUUUAUGCAGAAAUUUGUUCUUAAACCUGAUUUUUAAAAAAAAUUGCAUCUCAUUUAGCGCUAAUAGAGGGAAGCAAAGUAGUGCAUAAAUAAAACCAAAAAUUGUACAAAUUUGAGCUUAACUCCUGAAUUUCUUUACUUCAGUCUCUAAUAACAAGUUAAUUUAAUGUUUAGUUUUUAAUUGCUGCUUUGAAUUAAUUUAACAGGUCCACCAAAACUCAUCCAGGUCCAGUUGAACAUUUAAAUGAUAGUCCAAGAGAUGAAGGGAAAAUGGUAGACCCUCAGCAUGGGAUUUUGCAUUGGAUUGUCUGCUUUCUAAAAUCAAAGAAUCUAUUGAAGGUGCCACAUAAGGAAUACCAGGUUGAAUCAAUAAUCAAAAUUGCUACACAUAUUUUUGUGAGUGGAACAUCUAUACUUGUGUGAGCUGUUCACUGAGAAUCUGUAACCCACAGGACAGGUGGAGAGGUCAGCUAGGAAACAGCAGAAAACAGAAGACAAGACUGCAGUGAUAGACAAAGAUGGAUAUCAAGCCAAAUGCAACAGCACUGCGUGCUGUCGGGCAACAGCAAAGGAUCCCUGUGCAUGCAAAAAGAAAGUUGCACAAUAUGAAGGAAGCAGUAAAAAUGAAAUGAAGUAGAAGAGACAUGCAGAAAGAAAAAUGUUCUCGGAUGUGUCACAAUCAUCUUGAUUCUUUACCUGGAAAACCUGUAUUUUUUUCCUUUGUAAUUAUCUAAUAUACUUUGUGUCAAAGAACAAGGACCUGAGUUCCACUUAAAGAAGAUGAAGAAGUUAACAGAUACCGUUCUCGGGUUUUAUCAUGAAAUUAGAAAUGAAAAUUUUCAGUUUCUGGUAGUCAUGAACAGAGAGCCUCAGGUAAGCCCGAGAGUGCAGGCAGACAGGAUGCUCCUGCGCAGGCUCCUCAGGUGCAGCUAUGCUGGUGGGAAAAAUCAUGCUGUUUAGCCUAACGAGGCAAAACAGAAUAAAGGCUAAGGUACUUCAGUAGAGAGGGUCUUAAAUGCACAGCUGUAUCAGCUGCUGCCUCCUUCCCACCUGGUCUUCAUUUUUUCUCUGUGUAAUCUGUUUGCUUCCCUACUGGGCCUGCUAACAUUAUCUGAUUCCAGGCCAAACUGAUAAUAUUCGUUAUGAGGCCUGCCAAAAUUAAUAAAAUUUGAAUUCGUCAUCUUGGUGUUCCCUGAACUAAAGUUAACUACCUGUGUCAAAUCCUAAAGUCCACUUGUUACACCAGCAUCAGGCUAAGAUGUAAACUCCAUUUGAACUAAGGAACAGCUGCACUCCUCUUGAAACUCUACAUGCACAGAGAGAUGUUUGUUUGUAAGUGGAUACAAUAGACAGAGUGCUUGUUGGUGUUUUAAAAGCCAAAACCUGGAAUACUUUUCUUUUGACUUUACAUAUGGAGAAAAUUACGGUGUAAAAUGUAGAGGAGAAUAAAAUAAUACCAAGAUGAGUAAGUCCAUUAAAAAAAUGUAGAUGAGCAAAUGACUUUAGCGUUAUUAAUGCUGACUGGGAAUUUGACUGGCCAAAUGAGCAUGUUUAUACUAGGGACCAAUUAAAAGGCUUACCAUUUUAAUCACUGGCAGAACUGGACAUUCAGUGUUUUCCUGGAUGACAAGGGUUUUCUUGUUUUUUUCAGUUUGGCUUUGUUUUGGUCUAGCAACUGCACCAGAGUGUCCUCAGUGUAGAGAAGAUAACAAUACACUACCACAGUGUUAGUAUCAAUAUUUUGUUACUAACAUUUUGUAACAGUGUCUCAGAGUCUCUCUACAGCUUGAGGGGAAAACAUUGCUGCCAUUCCUACCCUGAGGAAAAUCUACAGUAACAGAAUGUUUCCAGAAGUAGAAACAUCCUACCAGUCCAGAACCUCCACGUGGACCCGACCUCUCAGCUUUCCCUGACUCCCCACCAGGGCAGCUGCUGUGUAGGAUCCUCUGUAAUGUACCAAUGGCACAGGUGGUGCAGUGCGUUGGGGCUGGACUAAUGGAGAAUGUCCUGGAGCUUCCCACGAAGACCCCUCCAACAUUACUAGGCAAAAAGGUGGAUCCAGAACACCCUCCUAAGCCCCGGGAACAGUUCCUCCUGAAAUAAUUAAAUAGACACACAUCUUUCAGCUUUGAUUUUUUUUUUUAAAUCAGCCUGAAAAGACCAGCUUUCAGAUUCCCGAAGAAAUUGCAAACAUAUCUUUUUAAAAAAAUUAUGGGGAUCAAACUCAAAGACCUUCUACAUUGGCUAUUGGCACACAUUUCAUUCCUGGAGAUGGUUAGAAUAUGGUGUUUCUAAAAUGAGAAGGACUUAUCUUUUCUCCUCUCUUUUGGAACUAAGAUGAGGUAAGUGGCCAGAUACCUCUCCCCUCCAACAACUUGUGUCAAGUGUUCCUCCAAAUCUGUACUGUUACAUGAUUUAUGGAUACCCUGUUGCCUUCUCCAGUGUUCAUGGCUAUCUUGAAACCUACAUGUGGCAGAGUACACAAUUAAUUGUAUCUAGUUUUAUAAGCAGCAUUAGGAAGCCAAAAGUAAAUACACUAUUUUCUGAGUGGUAAAAACUUCACAUGUUUUAAAAUCUAUGACCUGAAAUUUGUUCUAUGAAUAAACCAAAUUGUAGAUAACACAGGAUGAAAAGUCCUCUUCAUAUCUUUUAAAUUAUCAAUCACAAUUUAUGAAACCAAUCACAUACAUGAAUAAUUUUACACUGUGAUUGUAAAAUUGACCAAUUUUUAAAACUAUGACAGUUUACAUUUGAAAAACUUGAAAAUUACUUUGAAAACCAAUUGAGCAAUACUUAUUAUGAGCAGUCCAUAUUGGGUUAUUUUGGAAUGGAUAAAUUUUAAAUUGAUAUAAAAAGUUCUGUAUCAUAAUUCUGUGUUAUAUGCUUCUUGUCUGACUUUCGCAAAUGAAAUAAAAA